UACGAAGGGAGCUAGCGUUGUUCGGAAUCACUGGGCGUAAAGCGCACGUAGGCGGAUUUGCCAGUCAGGGGUGAAAUCCCGGGGCUCAACCCCGGAACUGCCUUUGAUACUGAUAGUCUCGAGUCCGGAAGAGGUGAGUGGAAUUCCGAGUGUAGAGGUGAAAUUCGUAGAUAUUCGGAGGAACACCAGUGGCGAAGGCGGCUCACUGGUCCGGUACUGACGCUGAGACGCGAAAGCGUGGGGAGCAAACAGG
rnacentral:rRNA from 1 species